AGUGCCAACGGUGGAUGCCUAGGCGCCUGAAGCCUAAGAAGGACGUGGGCGGCUGCGAUAAGCCACGGGGAGCUGCCUACCAAGCGUUGAUCCGUGGAUGUCCGAAUGGGGGAACCCGGCACUCUAAAGAGUGUCACUCCGGCCUGAACACAUAAGGCCGGCAGAGGGAACCGGAGGAAUUGAAACAUCUCAGUACUCCGAGGAAAGGAAAGCAACAGCGACUCCCUGAGUAGCGGCGAGCGAAACGGGAAGAGCCUAAACCUGGUCGGUGCCAAGCCUCGUGGCGUUGCCGGUCAGGAGUAGUGGGACCCAACAGAGGGGGCACGAGACCCCUCAGGGAGUUACAAAUCCUCGCUCUAGCAGAAGCGUUCUGGAAAGGCGCGCCAAAGAGGGUAAGAGCCCCGUACGCGAAAGGGCCGAGGACUCCCGUUGGGGAUCCCGAGUAGCGCCGAAACCGGGAAAGUCGGCGUGAAUCUGCGAGGACCACCUCGUAAGGCUAAGUACUCCCAGGCGACCGAUAGCGAACCAGUACCGUGAGGGAAAGGUGAAAAGUACCCCGAGAGGGGAGUGAAAGAGAACCUGAAACCGUUGGUCUACAAGCAGUCAGAGCCCCACGAGGGCGAUGGCGUGCCUUUUGAAGAAUGAGCCAGCGAGUUACCGUAGGUAGCGAGGUUAACCCAUGCGUGGGGGAGCCGAAGCGAAAGCGAGUCUGAACAGGGCGAUGAGAGUUGCCUGCGGUAGACCCGAAGCCGAGUGAUCUAUCCAUGGGCAGGCUGAAGCGGGGGUAAGAUCCCGUGGAGGGCCGAACCCACCCUGGUUGAAAACAGGGGGGAUGACCUGUGGAUAGGGGUGAAAGGCCAAUCAAACUCGGUGAUAGCUGGUUCUCCCCGAAAUGCAUUGAGGUGCAGCGUCAGGCGUUCAGCAUCGGAGGUAGAGCACUGGAUGGGCUAUGGGGGCCCACAGCCUUACUGAUCCCAACCAAACUCCGAAUGCCGAUGCUCUAGAGCCUGGCAGUGAGACCACGGGGGAUGAGCUUCGUGGUCGAGAGGGAAACAGCCCAGACCGCCAGCUAAGGUCCCGAAGUACCGGCUAAGUGGAUAACGAUGUGGAACCGCCCAGACAGCCAGGAGGUUGGCUUAGAAGCAGCCAUCCUUCAAAGAGUGCGUAAUAGCUCACUGGUCGAGUGGUUCCGCGCGGACAAUUCAACGGGGCUAAGCCGGUCACCGAAGCUGCGGGUCCGGUGACGAACGUCACCGGGCGGUAGGGGAGCGUCGAGCGUGCCGUGAAGGUGAGGCGUGAGCCGAGCUGGAGCGCGCUCGAGUGAGAAUGCUGGCAUGAGUAGCGAACGAGGGGUGAGAAUCCCCUCCGCCGAAUGCCUCAGGGUUCCUGGGCAAGGCUCGUCCGCCCAGGGUGAGUCGGGAGCUAAGGCGAGGCCGAACGGCGUAGUCGAUGCACAACCGGUUCAUAGUCCGGUACCGCCCAGAUCGCGUUUGAGCGAUGGAGGGACGCAGGAGGGUAGGUGAUCCCAGGCGUUGGUCGUUCCUGGGGAAAGCGUGUAGGGCGAGGGCCAGGCAAAUCCGGACCUCACGAAGCCUAAGGCGCGAUUCCGAUCCCAUCACGGGAGAAGUCACUGAGCCCAUGCUGCCAAGAAAAGCUUCUAGCGAGCGAUCGGGCGCCCGUACCCCAAACCGACACAGGUAGGCAGGUAGAGCAUACCAAGGCGAGCGGGAGAACUGUGGUUAAGGAACUCGGCAAAUUGCUUCCGUAACUUCGGGAUAAGGAAGGCCUCGGUAGGGUGAAGGGACUCGCUCCCGGAGCCCGAGGAGGUGGCACAGACCAGGGGGAAGCGACUGUUUACUAAAAACACAGCAGCGUGCGAAGUCCAACGACGAUGUAUACGCUGUGACGCCUGCCCGGUGCCGGAAGGUUACGGGGAGGGGUGAGCCCGCAAGGGCGAAGCUCCGAACCUAAGCCCCGGUAAACGGCCGCCGUAACUAUAACGGUGCUAAGGUAGCGAAAUUCCUUGUCGGGUAAGUUCCGACCCGCACGAAUGGCGUAACGACUUCCCCACUGUCUCAACCACAGACCCGGCGAAAUUGAAGUACGAGUAAAGAUGCUCGUUCGCUGCAUCAGGACGGAAAGACCCCGUGGACCUUUACUGUAGCUUGAUGUUGAGCUUUGGUUCCGAUUGUGUAGGAUAGGUGGGAGCCUGCGAAGGGGGAGCGCCAGCUUCCCUGGAGGCGUCCUUGAAAUCCCACCCUGUCGGUGCUGG
rnacentral:rRNA from 1 species